GAUGAACGCUGGCGGCGUGCCUAAUACAUGCAAGUCGAGCGAACGGACGAGAAGCUUGCUUCUCUGAUGUUAGCGGCGGACGGGUGAGUAACACGUGGAUAACCUACCUAUAAGACUGGGAUAACUUCGGGAAACCGGAGCUAAUACCGGAUAAUAUUUUGAACCGCAUGGUUCAAAAGUGAAAGACGGUCUUGCUGUCACUUAUAGAUGGAUCCGCGCUGCAUUAGCUAGUUGGUAAGGUAACGGCUUACCAAGGCAACGAUGCAUAGCCGACCUGAGAGGGUGAUCGGCCACACUGGAACUGAGACACGGUCCAGACUCCUACGGGAGGCAGCAGUAGGGAAUCUUCCGCAAUGGGCGAAAGCCUGACGGAGCAACGCCGCGUGAGUGAUGAAGGUCUUCGGAUCGUAAAACUCUGUUAUUAGGGAAGAACAUAUGUGUAAGUAACUGUGCACAUGUUGACGGUACCUAAUCAGAAAGCCACGGCUAACUACGUG
rnacentral:rRNA from 1 species